rnacentral:rRNA from 1 species
GGAUUGUAAACUCCUGUCGUUAGGGACGAUAAUGACGGUACCUAACAAGAAAGCACCGGCUAACUACGUGCCAGCAGCCGCGGUAAAACGUAGGGUGCAAGCGUUGUCCGGAAUUACUGGGUGUAAGGGAGCGCAGGCGGACCGGCAAGUUGGAAGUGAAAACUAUGGGCUUAACCCAUAAAUUGCUUUCAAAACUGCUGGCCUUGAGUAGUGCAGAGGUAGGUGGAAUUCCCGGUGUAGCGGUGGAAUGCGUAGAUAUCGGGAGGAACACCAGUGGCGAAGGCGACCUACUGGGCACCAACUGACGCUGAGGCUCGAAAGCAUGGGUAGCAAACAGGAUUAGAUACCCUGGUAGUCCAUGCCGUAAACGAUGAUUACUAGGUGUUGGAGGAUUGACCCCUUCAGUGCCGCAGUUCACACAAUAAGUAAUCCACCUGGGGAGUA